CUACGGAGGGUGCAAACGUUGUUCGGAAUUACUGGGCGUAAAGGGCGCGUAGGCGGUCUGUUAUGUCAGAUGUGAAAGUCCUCGGCUCAACCGGGGAAGUGCAUUUGAAACUGGCAGACUUGAGUACUGGAGGGGGUGGUGGAAUUCCCGGUGUAGAGGUGAAAUUCGUAGAUAUCGGGAGGAAUACCGGUGGCGAAGGCGACCACCUGGCCAGAUACUGACGCUGAGGUGCGAAAGCGUGGAGAGCAAACAGGAUUAGAAACCCCAGUAGUCC
rnacentral:rRNA from 1 species